UGUCUCAUAGCUCAAUGGUAGAGCGGUGGACUGGAAUUCUCUAUACAUUGGGUUCGAAUCCCAUUCAGGUGU
rfam:Daphnia magna strain Xinb3 contig42490, whole genome shotgun sequence.